AGCAAAUAGAUACCCAGGUAGUCCACGCCCUAAACUAUGUCAACUGGUUGUCGGGGAAGAAAUUCCUUGGUAAACGAAAGCUAAACGCGUGAAAGUUGACCGCCUGGGGAGUACGGCCGCAAGGUUAAAACUCAAAGGAAUUGACGGGGACCCGCACAAGCGGUGGAUUAUGUGGAUUAAUUCGAUGCAACGCGAAAACCUUACCUACCCUUGACAUGUACGGAACCCUCCAGAGAUGGAGGGGUGCCCGAAGGAGCCGUAACACAGGUGCUGCAUGGCUGUCGUCAGCUCGUGUCGUGAGAUGUUGGGUUAAGUCCCGCAACGAGCGCAACCCUUGCCAUUAGUUGCUACAUUCAGUUGGGCACUCUAAUGGGACUGCCGGUGAC
rnacentral:rRNA from 1 species